rnacentral:rRNA from 1 species
GACGAACGCUGGCGGCGUGCUUAACACAUGCAAGUCGAACGGAAAGGCCCUUCGGGGUACUCGAGUGGCGAACGGGUGAGUAACACGUGGGUGAUCUGCCCUGCACUUUGGGAUAAGCCUGGGAAACUGGGUCUAAUACCGAAUAGGACCGCGCGCUUCAUGGUGUGUGGUGGAAAGCUUUUGCGGUGUGGGAUGGGCCCGCGGCCUAUCAGCUUGUUGGUGGGGUAAUGGCCUACCAAGGCCACGACGGGUAGCCGGCCUGAGAGGGUGACCGGCCACACUGGGACUGAGAUACGGCCCAGACUCCUACGGGAGGCAGCAGUGGGGAAUAUUGCACAAUGGGCGCAAGCCUGAUGCAGCGACGCCGCGUGAGGGAUGACGGCCUUCGGGUUGUAAACCUCUUUCACCAGGGACGAAGCGCAAGUGACGGUACCUGGAGAAGAAGCACCGGCCAACUACGUG